UACGUAGGGUGCAAGCGUUAAUCGGAAUUACUGGGCGUAAAGCGUGCGCAGGCGGUUGUGCAAGACAGAUGUGAAAUCCCCGGGCUUAACCUGGGAAUUGCAUUUGUGACUGCACGGCUAGAGUGUGUCAGAGGGGGGUAGAAUUCCACGUGUGAGCAGUGAAAUGCGUAGAUAUGUGGAGGAAUACCGAUGGCGAAGGCAGCCCCCUGGGAUAACACUGACGCUCAUGCACGAAAGCGUGG
rnacentral:rRNA from 1 species